rnacentral:rRNA from 1 species
UACGGGGGGGAGCAAGCGUUGUUCGGAUUUACUGGGCGUAAAGGGCGCGUAGGCGGCGUGACAAGUCACUUGUGAAAUCUCCGGGCUUAACUCGGAACGGUCAAGUGAUACUGUCGUGCUAGAGUACAGAAGGGGCAACUGGAAUUCUCGGUGUAGCGGUGAAAUGCGUAGAGAUCAGGAAGAACACCAGUGGCGAAGGCGCUCUGCUAGGCCGUAACUGACACUGAGGGACGAAAGCUAGGGGAGCGAAUGGG